rnacentral:rRNA from 1 species
CGGCGCCACGAGUGGUGAUCAUUUUUAUUGGGCCUAAAACGUUCGUAGCCGGUUUAGUAAAUGCUUGGGUAAAUUGUGUCGCUUAACGAUACGAAUACCGGGUAGACUGCUAAACUUGGGACCGGGAGAGGUUAGAGGUACUCCUGGGGUAGAGGUGAAAUUCUGUAAUCCUGGGGGGACCACCAGUGGCGAAGGCGUCUAACCAGAACGGGUCUGACGGUGAGGGACGAAGCCCUGGGGCGCAAAACGGAUUAGAUACCCGAGUAGUCC